UACGAAGGGGGCUAGCGUUGUUCGGAAUUACUGGGCGUAAAGGGCGCGUAGGCGGUGUGUCAAGUCAGGCGUGAAAGCCCCGGGCUCAACCUGGGAACCGCGCUUGAGACUGGCACGCUCGAGUUCGGGAGAGGAUGGUGGAAUUCCCGGUGUAGAGGUGAAAUUCGUAGAUAUUGGGAAGAACACCGAUGGCGAAGGCAGCCAUCUGGACCGACACUGACGCUGAGGCGCGAAAGCGUGGGGAGCAAACAGG
rnacentral:rRNA from 1 species